GAUCGUUCUCAGGGCGGGGUGAAAUUCCCCACCGGCGGUGAUAGCCCGCGAGCGCCCUUGUUUCGGCAAGGGGUCAGCAGAUCCGGUGAAAUUCCGGGGCCGACGGUCAUAGUCCGGAUGAAAGAGAACCACG
rnacentral:ncRNA from 1 species